GGUUAAUUGACACAGGUGAAGACUGUUUAUUGAUUACUCUCCUCUACCUUGCAGUAGCAUGCUGGACCUGGCAGAGAGACGGGGCGCGUUCUCUACCACAGAGGCUGCAAUCUUGCACAGCCAUGUGUCUACCACAGCAAAGAAUGUGAGUGGCGCCCGAAAUGCUGGUUGGAAGACAAAGAAGCAAAAGACGAGAGUGGUUAUUGAUGUGGGCAGAAUUCAUUGUGUUGAAAGAAGUUUGUACGAGUAAAAACUUGACCAAUGAGAGAUCAUACUUAUCAUUCAUCACAGAAGCUUCUUGUCCUCGAAGGCCACCGUCACUUCUGGAAUUUCACCAAGGUUUCACCACGUUUCUUUGUACUGUACCUUAAAAGCCUUAGAUAUUGUAGAUAUACAUUUUGAAUGUAUGUCAUUGUAAUUUGCUAUGAUUGUGUCCCAAAUAAAAAGAUGUUACACCCAUGUUCACAUGAUGAUGCAAUAA